CAAAAACUGAGGCUCCUUGACAGCUGCAGUCAUUUAAAGUCAUGGUGCAGCCACCCAGUGAUGGAAUGCAUCUUUGGCAGUCUGUUUCGCCAAGCCUUCCAAGUGACUGCGAACACGAGCGACGACCUCAUGGCUGGGGUUGUGCAGUGGUGACCAUUUUUCAAAAAAGAAAAACUGCUGUUAAAAACUGAGACAUGCCAUUGUGAAAGCUUGAUAGAGAAAAAUAGCAACUGAUGGCCUUCUAGAAGCCUCCUGUGAACUCUUCAGGCAACUGAUUUCUGAGCAUGGACCAAGGCCAGAAGGGCUUUACAACUCCACAGAAUCUGCAUGUUUAGAGAGUGCAUAUCAGUUUUUAUUGAGAGGCAACAGCUUUUGGGUUUGCUAAUGUUCCCAUAAGAUGUGGGUCAGAUUCCCAGAGAUGCCCAAUACUGAUGCCAAAGAAAGUCGGGAGACUCGCGAGGGACUUAAAGAGACAGCACAACUUUUCCAGGCCCCGGGUUACACUGUGGUGAUGCCAGGAUAAUCAGACCAGCCUCUGGAGACCCUCCCCACUAGGCAACAGCUGUCCCUCAUCCUCCCAGCUCUGUUCCCAUCUGUGCCUGGGGAAGUGAGCUUAAGGAUUUUUCCGGAAAUGAGGAGAGGUCAGGAUGCUGAAGUGUUUGGAAGGCUUCCGACGGAACGAUGGCUGAGGCCCUCGCUCUCCACUGAACUCUGCUUGUGGCUGGGGACUGCUCUGUGUCUGCACGUGUUUGCAUUUAUUAAAUGUGGAGGUGCAAAAAAAAUAAAAACAACAAAAGAACACUGAGA